rnacentral:tRNA from 1 species
AACUAGAAAGCGAAAUAUCGCACUUAAUUUCGACCUAAGCUUUGACGGACUCGUCUCUAGUUU